rnacentral:rRNA from 1 species
AUUGAACGCUGGCGGCAUGCCUUACACAUGCAAGUCGAACGGUAACAGGUCUUCGGAUGCUGACGAGUGGCGCACGGGUGAGUAAUACAUCGGAACGUGCCCAGACGUGGGGGAUAACGAGGCGAAAGCUUUGCUAAUACCGCAUACGAUCUAAGGAUGAAAGCAGGGGACCGCAAGGCCUUGCGCGGUUGGAGCGGCCGAUGGCAGAUUAGGUAGUUGGUGGGAUAAAAGCUUACCAAGCCGACGAUCUGUAGCUGGUCUGAGAGGACGACCAGCCACACUGGGACUGAGACACGGCCCAGACUCCUACGGGAGGCAGCAGUGGGGAAUUUUGGACAAUGGGCGAAAGCCUGAUCCAGCAAUGCCGCGUGCAGGAUGAAGGCCUUCGGGUUGUAAACUGCUUUUGUACGGAACGAAAAGGCUCUGGCUAAUACCUGGGGCACAUGACGGUACCGUAAGAAUAAGCACCGGCUAACUACGUG